CUAAUACGAGAUGACAUAAGAGAUUCGCAUGGAUUUCUUAUCAAAGCUUUUGCGGUAUAGGAUGGACCCGCGUCUGAUUAGCUAGUUGGUAAGGUAACGGCUUACCAAGGCGACGAUCAGUAGCCGACCUGAGAGGGUGAUCGGCCACAUUGGAACUGAGACACGGUCCAAACUCCUACGGGAGGCAGCAGUGGGGAAUAUUGCACAAUGGGCGAAAGCCUGAUGCAGCAACGCCGCGUGAGCGAUGAAGGCCUUCGGGUCGUAAAGCUCUGUCCUCAAGGAAGAUUAUGACGGUACUUGAGGAGGAAGCCCCGGCUAACUACGUGCCAGCAGCCGCGGUAAUACGUAGGGGGCUAGCGUUAUCCGGAAUUACUGGGCGUAAAGGGUGCGUAGGUGGUUUCUUAAGUCAGAGGUGAAAGGCUACGGCUCAACCGUAGUAAGCCUUUGAAACUGAGAAACUUGAGUGCAGGAGAGGAGAGUAGAAUUCCUAGUGUAGCGGUGAAUUGCGUAGAUAUUAGGAGGAAUACCAGUUGCGAAGGCGGCUCUCUGGACUGUAACUGACACUGAGGCACGAAAGCGUGGGGAGCAAACAGGAUUAGAUACCCUGGUAGUCCACGCCGUAAACGAUGAGUACUAGCUGUCGGAGGUUACCCCCUUCGGUGGCGCAGCUAACGCAUUAAGUACUCCGCCUGGGAAGUACGCUCGCAAGAGUGAAACU
rnacentral:rRNA from 1 species